UACGGGGGGGGCAAGCGUUGUUCGGAAUUACUGGGCGUAAAGGGCUUGUAGGUGGCCAACUAAGUCAGACGUGAAAUCCCUCGGCUUAACCGGGGAACUGCGUCUGAGACUGGAUGGCUUGAGUGUGGCAGAGGGAGGUGGAAUUCCACGUGUAGCGGUGAAAUGCGUAGAGAUGUGGAGGAACACCGAUGGCGAAGGCAGCCUCCUGGGCCAACACUGACGCUCAUGCACGAAAGCGUGGGGAGCAAACAGG
rnacentral:rRNA from 1 species